rnacentral:rRNA from 1 species
UAUCGCGACGUAGUUUGACUCCGUGGCUCGAGGAUGAACGCUGGCGGCGUGCUUAACACAUGCAAGUCGAACGGAGAGCCUAUGACGGAGUUUUCGGACAACUGAUUAGGUUUCUUAGUGGCGGACGGGUGAGUAACGCGUGAGGAACCUGCCUUGGAGUGGGGAAUAACACAGAGAAAUUUGUGCUAAUACCGCAUAAGACCACGAGGUCGCAUGGCCUUGAGGUAAAAGAUUUAUCGGUGUAGGGUGAGCUCGCGUCUGAUUAGCUAGUUGGUGAGGUAACGGCCCACCAAGGCGACGAUCAGUAGCCGACCUGAGAGGGUGAUCGGCCACAUUGGAACUGAGACACGGUCCAGACUCCUACGGGAGGCAGCAGUGGGGAAUAUUGGGCAAUGGGCGCAAGCCUGACCCAGCAACGCCGCGUGAAGGAAGAAGGUUUUCGGAUUGUAAACUUCUGUCCUUGGUGACGAAGAAAGUGACGGUAGCCAAGGAGGAAGCCCCGGCUAACUACGUG